UUACCGAGUGCGGGCCCCUCGGGGCCCAACCUCCCACCCGUGUUGCCCGAACCUAUGUUGCCUCGGCGGGCCCCGCGCCCGCCGACGGCCCCCCUGAACGCUGUCUGAAGUUGCAGUCUGAGACCUAUAACGAAAUUAGUUAAAACUUUCAACAACGGAUCUCUUGGUUCCGGCAUCGAUGAAGAACGCAGCGAAAUGCGAUAACUAAUGUGAAUUGCAGAAUUCAGUGAAUCAUCGAGUCUUUGAACGCACAUUGCGCCCUCUGGUAUUCCGGAGGGCAUGCCUGUCCGAGCGUCAUUGCUGCCCUCAAGCCCGGCUUGUGUGUUGGGCCCCGUCCCCCCCGCCGGGGGGACGGGCCCGAAAGGCAGCGGCGGCACCGCGUCCGGUCCUCGAGCGUAUGGGGCUUCGUCACCCGCUCUAGUAGGCCCGGCCGGCGCCAGCCGACCCCCAACCUUUAAUUAUCUCAGGUUGACCUCGGAUCAGGUAGGGAUACCCGCUGAACUUAAGCAUAUCAAUAAGCGGAGGAAAAGAAACCAACCGGGAUUGCCCUAGUAACGGCGAGUGAAGCGGCAAGAGCUCAAAUUUGAAAGCUGGCCCCCU
rnacentral:rRNA from 1 species